rnacentral:tRNA from 1 species
GCGGGCGUAGCUCAGAGGUAGAGCGUCGGCUUCCCAAGCCGAAUGUCGUGGGUUCGAUUCCCAUCGCCCGCU